rnacentral:rRNA from 1 species
UACAGAGGCCACAAGCGUUAGACGGAAUCACUGGGCUUAAAGCGUGUGUAGGCGGGAUGGUAAGUACCUUGUGAAAUCCCACAGCUUAACUGUGGAAUUGCUUGGUAUACUGCCGUUCUUGAGUCGCCUAGGGGCAGCUGGAACAGAUGGUGGAGCGGUGAAAUGCAUAGAUAUCAUCUGGAACGCCAAUGGUGCAGACAAGCUGCUGGGGGUGUACUGACGCUGAGGCACGAAAGCCAGGGGAGCAAACGGG